CCAUCACUUUCCAGACUCUACAGCACUAGGCCAGCAGCUUACCACCGAUCCGCUGCCACCGGCCCUCACCACUCCCCCCCUCCCCUCGCCACGCCGCCACCCACGCCGCCGUGUCGCCUCCCCAAAGAUCCCCUCUGAGGAUCGAUCGCCAGAACCCCGGAUUCCCAUCGCCGCCUAGAUGGGGUGCGCACAGUCCAAGAUCGACCAGGAGGAGGCGGUGUGCCGCUGCCGGGAUCGGAAGCGGCUGAUGGCUGACGCUGUCCAGGCGCGCAACGCCUUCGCCGCCGCCCAUUCGGCCUACACCGUCCUCCUCAAGAGCACCGGCGGCGCGCUCUCGGACUUUGCCCAUGGCGAGGCGCCCGACCCCAGCAUGAUAGCCUCCCAUUCCCACCAGGCCGCCGUUGCGGCGGCCGCAGCCGGAGCCUCGGCCUCUGCGCCUCCGCCCCCGACCACCACUACUGUCCUCAUCCCGCCCUCCCCCCCGCCCCCGCCCUUCAUGGACUUCCCUCAUGGCCUCCAGCGCUCCUCGUCAACCCCCAACAUCCCCAUGCCCGAUCCCCGGGCUGCCACCAAGAACCGCGCCCCAGCUAGUGCUGCUAUCCAGGAGGGGAGGAGGAUGGCGAGGAGGACGAUGGUCAUAUCAUAACUGACAGCGAUGAUGAUGAUGAUGAUGAGGAGGAGGAGGAGGAGGAGGAGGACGACAACGACCACGACGACGACGAUCACCACGAGCAUGACGAUUUCAGCAUGGAUGAUACGGUGCACGGACAGCCGCCAAAGAGAGGGGUGAUGGACAGCAUGGGGUCUUCUCCAGUGACACCACCGCCACCACCGCAGCUAAACCCAUCCCCAAUAACGCCUGCGUCUGCGACACCACCGCCCCCCAUGCCGGAGGCUCAAAUGGCUACCUGGGACUACUUCUUCGGUCCAACCCCCACACCACCGCCCACCCUGGAGCAGCAAACUGAUGAUACUUGGAUGGAUAGGCGGGAGAAGGAGUCAGUGCCCGAGGUGAAGGCACCAGUGAUGAAUCCAGCUGUUAGUGAGGCAUCUGCACCAUCACGUGGUGCUGAGGAGUGGGCGGAGCGGCCACCACAGACAGCACUGGAGAAGGCGAAGGCCAUCGAUGAGCUUGGGGCAAACCUUCCCCCGUCGAAGCCGAUUGUUAGGAAGCCACCCAAGGCACCUGGCCUGCAACCAGAAGUACACCACCAGCAUGCCUCGUCCAUGGGCUCAGUUGAGACCCGGAAAGGGAAGAUUAUGAUGGUGUCUGCCAGCCUACUGCAGAUUAUUGCUCAGCUUGAUGAUAACUUUCUCAGGUCUUCGGAGAGUGCACAUGAUGUGUCAAAAAAGCUUGAGGCCACACGGAUGCAUUACCACUCCAACCAUGCUGACAGUCGAGGACAUAUUGAUCAUUCUACGAAAAUCAUGCAUGUUAUCACAUGGAAUCGCUCCUUCAAGAAUUUACCGGACCAAGAGGAUUUAGGUGUUAAUUUCGAGAUUGAUGAACGAUUCGAAACUCAUGCCACAGUUCUCGACCGGAUGCUUGCCUGGGAGAAAAAAUUGUAUGAUGAAGUGAAGGCAGGGGAACUUAUGAAAAUUGAUUAUCAAAAGAAGGUUGAUCUACUGCAUAAACAAAAGAAACGUGGUGUUAAACUUGAAACCCUUGAGAAGACAAAGGCUGCCGUUAGCCACUUGCACACAAGGUACAUAGUGGAUAUGCAAUCCAUGGAUUCAACAGUUUCAGAAAUAAAUCGUCUACGUGAUAAACAGCUAUACCCGAAGUUAGUGGACCUUGUCGAUGGCAUGGCAAAUAUGUGGAGUUCUAUGCACCGUCAUCACAAGAGCCAGUUUUUGACCAUAUCGGGGAUCAGAGCUUUUGAGGUACCGCCUGUUCCAAGGGAGACAACUGAUUUGCAUUAUAAGCAGACCUGUGAGCUACGUGACAUUGUCAGGGAGUGGCAUAUGCAGUUUGACAAACUUAUGGACCAUCAGAAAGGGUACAUCAGAGCACUCAAUGCAUGGUUGAAGCUUAAUCUCAUCUCCAUCGAGAGCAAUCUGAAGGAGAAGGUAUCCUCCCCUCCAAGGCAGGUGGAACCACCUAUCAAGAAUCUGCUAUAUGCCUGGCACGACCUGCUUGAGAGGCUUCCCGUCGAACUUGCCAAAACUGCCAUUAAAAGCUUUACUGAAGUCAUAAGCAAUAUUGUACUGCUUCAGGAAGAGGAGGUCAGCCUAAGGCGAAGGUGUGAGGAAACUCGCAGGGAUCUUGACCGUAAGAGGGCACAGUUUGAAGACUGGCAUCGUAGGUACACAGAAAGAAAGGCAUCCCAGGGUGAGGAAGCUAACCCCGAAGCAGCCAAUACUCCAAGCCUAGAUCAUGUCAACGAGAGGAGAAUAACCAUUGAGGAAGUAGAAAUCAGGCUGAAGGAAGAGGAGAAGCUCCACCUUAGGCUUGCGAGGCAGGUGAGGGAGAAGACGCUGGCAAACCUCCGGAUGCACCUGCCAGAGCUCUUCAGAAACAUGGCGGACUUUUCGUUCUUCUGCCAUGACAUGUACAGUAGCUUGAGAAAAUCUGCAGUGCUGCCAAUGCUCAGAGACGAGGUUCAAGGUUGAUGGCUUGUGCGUGUUAGUGUUACUGUAAUUGUCCUGCCACCAGAGGCAGGCAAAUAUUAUUUUGGUUGUAGGGAGUAGUUGUUUGCUGGCAUUAGGCCGCUCUGAAUAUGUAUGUUCCAAGUGCACUGUAGAAGUCAGCCAGCAAAAUUGAGAUCAUCACCUGAUACCAUCAAUCAUUUAUCAUGUCAUAUGGUCAUUGAGGAAGUGGUUUAAUUGCA